CCUUUCGGGGUGGAUUAGUGGCGAACGGGUGAGUAACACGUGGGCAAUCUGCCCUUCACUCUGGGACAAGCCCUGGAAACGGGGUCUAAUACCGGAUAACACUCUGUCCCGCAUGGGACGGGGUUAAAAGCUCCGGCGGUGAAGGAUGAGCCCGCGGCCUAUCAGCUUGUUGGUGGGGURAUGGCCUACCAAGGCGACGACGGGUAGCCGGCCUGAGAGGGCGACCGGCCACACUGGGACUGAGACACGGCCCAGACUCCUACGGGAGGCAGCAGUGGGGAAUAUUGCACAAUGGGCGAAAGCCUGAUGCAGCGACGCCGCGUGAGGGAUGACGGCCUUCGGGUUGUAAACCUCUUUCAGCAGGGAAGAAGCGAAAGUGACGGUACCUGCAGAAGAAGCGCCGGCUAACUACGUGCCAGCAGCCGCGGUAAUACGUAGGGCGCAAGCGUUGUCCGGAAUUAUUGGGCGUAAAGAGCUCGUAGGCGGCUUGUCACGUCGGAUGUGAAAGCCCGGGGCUUAACCCCGGGUCUGCAUUCGAUACGGGCUAGCUAGAGUGUGGUAGGGGAGAUCGGAAUUCCUGGUGUAGCGGUGAAAUGCGCAGAUAUCAGGAGGAACACCGGUGGCGAAGGCGGAUCUCUGGGCC
rnacentral:rRNA from 1 species